rnacentral:rRNA from 1 species
UAUCUCUGUAGAGUCUGCAUAUCAAUAAGCGGAGGAAAAGAAACUAACUAGGAUUCCCUUAGUAACGGCGAGUGAAGCGGGAAGAGCUCAAAUUUGAAAUCUUCAAGGUUUUACCUUGACGAAUUGUAGUUUAAAGAAGUGUUUUCUGUUGGAGUUUUGGUAAAAGUUCUUUGGAAUAGGACAUCAUAGAGGGUGAGAAUCCCGUAUUUGACCAUUAUUUUCAGCUUUGUGAUACACUUUCAAAGAGUCGGAUUGUUUGGGAAUGCAGUCCAAAAUGGGUGGUAAAUUUCAUCUAAAGCUAAAUAUUGGCGAGAGACCGAUAGCGAACAAGUACCGUGAGGGAAAGAUGAAAAGAACUUUGAAAAGAGAGUUAAACAGUACGUGAAAUUGUCAAAAGGGAAGCGUUUGACACCAGUGUUGUUUUCUCGAAAAUCAAUUAAAAAUGGCUGGAUUUUGUGUUGUAUUGACCUUAUAAGCUUUCUGCACUCUUUUCAUGUCUUUUUUAAUGCACUUUUCGUUUAACAAGUCAACAUCAAUUUCUUUUGUUGUAAAAGGGUCAUUGGAAGGUGGCUCUCUUUUCGGAGAAAGUGUUUAUAGCCUUUGGCCUCUGCAAUCGGAGAGAUUGAGGUCUGCAGCGUAGAUCCUUCGGGGUUAGAUACAUUUGUGCUAAGUUAUAGCCUUUCAUAGACAACUUGUUGACUAUGAUCAGUCAUGUAGCUUACUCGCUUAUGCUAUUUUACCUACGCUUAGGAUGUUGAUGUGAUACUGCGAGCA